GACGAACGCUGGCGGCGUGCUUAACACAUGCAAGUCGAACGGAAAGGCCCUGCUUUUGUUGGGUGCUCGAUUGGCGAACGGGUGAGUAACACGUGAGUAACCUGCCCCUGACUUUGGGAUAACUUCAGGAAACUGGGGCUAAUACCGGAUAGGAGCUCCUGCUGCAUGGUGUGGGUUGGAAAGUUUCGGCGGUUGGGGAUGGACUCGCGGCUUAUCAGCUUGUUGGUGAGGUAGUGGCUUACCAAGGCUUUGACGGGUAGCCGGCCUGAGAGGGUGAUCGGCCGCACUGGAGCGUGGACAGCCUCCAUGCGACUGCGAGAGGGAGCAGAAGGGAACCGUAGGCAAUGGGGGAAAGCAUGACGGAGCGAGGCCACGUCAGAGACGGCAACGUCCGGAGCGGAAAGCCCGGUUACGGGUGGAGAACAGAUUUCGACUGAGACAUGCCCUUAUUGACGGUACCGGAUAAGGAAGCCCCGGCUAACUACGUG
rnacentral:rRNA from 1 species